rnacentral:rRNA from 1 species
UACAGAGGGUGCAAGCGUUGCUCGGAAUCAUUGGGCGUAAAGGGCAAGUAGGUGGUCUUAUUUGUCUCGUGUGAAAUCCUUGGGCUUAACUCAAGAAGUGCGCGAGAAACGGUGAGACUCGAGUUCCGGAGAGGUGGGUGGGAUUCCCGGUGUAGCGGUGAAAUGCGUAGAGAUCGGGAGGAACACCAGAGGCGAAGGCGGCCCACUGGACGGAUACUGACACUCAACUGCGAAAGCGUGGGGAGCAAACAGG